rnacentral:rRNA from 1 species
UACGUAGGGUCCGAGCGUUGUCCGGAAUUACUGGGCGUAAAGAGCUCGUAGGUGGUUUGUCGCGUUGUUCGUGAAAACUCACAGCUCAACUGUGGGCGUGCGGGCGAUACGGGCAGGCUAGAGUUCGGUAGAGGAGAGCGGAAUUCCUGGUGUAGCGGUGAAAUGCUUAGAUAUCGUCAAGAACACCUAUAGCGAAGGCAGCUUACUAGGCUGAUAACUGACGCUGAGGCACGAAAAGUGUGGGGGAUCAAAACAGGG